rnacentral:lncRNA from 1 species
CAUGGAGGAGAUCUUCAAGGGCACCAAGUCCUUCAAGGAGGAGGUCUUCGGAAAGGUACAAUUAGAGCUCAACCAGUUCGGCCUGCUGAUCUACAACGCCAACGUUAAGCAACUCGUCGACGUGAGGGGACACGAGUACUUCUCCUACCUCGGCCAGAAGACCCAGCAAGAGGCGGCGAACCAGGCGAAGGUGGACGUAGCCGAGGCGAGGAUGAAAGGCGAGAUCGGGUCCAAGAAGCGGGAGGGCCAGACCCUCCAGUACGCCUCCAAGGUCGACGCAGAGACGAAGGUGUACUCGANNNNNNNNNNNNNNNNNNNNAGGAAGUCGCCAGGGUCAACGCUGACGCUGUGAAGGGACUGCAGCCGAAGAUCAGCGUUUGGACGAAUGGCGGGGAGAAGGGGGAGGGAGGCGCGAUGAAGGAGGUGGCCGGGCUGUACAAGAUGCUUCCACCGUUGUUUAAGACCGUGGAAGAACAAGUAGGGAUGCUACCGCCGGCCUGGAUGGGAACGAUGAACUCCAGCUCCUCCGCGCACUGACUGUCGCUUGCUAAUGAAUUUUCAUUCGUAAUAAUGGUCUUCGAAGACAUUAUGGGCUGUGUACUUCAUGUAACGUCUGCUGUUAUGUAAUCUAUUCCCUCAGGUCAAGUUGUAGUAUUUGCACUGGGCAACACUAUUUUAGAGAAAUUGUUAAUCGUGCAAAAUGGAGAGAAUAUGACUGAUUUUCUUAUUUUAUGCAUAGAGAUAAUUGAUAAUAUUUGUUUUAUUAGCUGAAAUCAAUUAAUGUGUAUAUUGAUGCAACCCUAAGUCAUCAUUAGAAUGAUCAAUCAAUUUUAAUAGUUUAUAGAAUUAGAUUCACCAAAAAUAAUUUUAAAUAGAUAUAGUGGUGAGCUAGGUCGUCUCCUCAAGGAAGCCAUUAAAAUACUUUUUAUUUUCUAAUUUAAAAGAUCAUAAAAUUGAUUUGAAGAUUUAGAUUGACAUUUAAGAUAAUAAAGGAAAUCAAAUGGCAAAUAAAUGUAAACACGAAUUUAAAGUAUAAAGGAAUUAUAAAAAGUAAAUAAAAUAUGAUAUAAAUGUUGAAAAUAGUAGAUAAAUAAAUAAAAAUAUGAGUAAAUCUAAGAAAAUAAAUAUAUUUCACAGAUUUAUCAAGAAAAUAGUGAAAACUCUAUUAAAACUCAAACUUACAACCCUUAGAAUGCGUGGCUUGAUGUCGACCUCUAGGUAGCACUUCCAAAUCUUGUCUCUAGUUCAAAAAAAUAGAUUUAAGAUGAAAAACAUAGAUGAGAAUGAUUAAAAUUAAUGAUAUAUUCUUCAAAUUUCUAUUUUCGCACAAAGAAAGAUGAACACCAUUUCUACCAAAAAAUAACCUAAGAAAAACUUGAAAAAAGAUUACUUUCUCUCCCUUCUUCCUCCUUUUUAUUCUCUAAUCCAUGAAUAAUGUUUCUUAUUUUGACUUGCUAUCUUUUGUCAUAUUUUCUAAUUUUUCUUAAUUUUUUGACAUUUUCUCCUCUUCUCGCAUGAAAAUAAUCAAUAUCAUCUAUUUUACCAGAUGAUAAUCAAUAUUUAUAGAUAUAUCCCUCUAUGAACAAGUGAGAAUAAUUGAUAUCUCCACUUUUGUAGGAAUAAUUGAUAUUUACAAGUAUAUCUUCCAACAUGUGGUUCGAUGAAGAUUGUUAGAUCCUUGUGUCAUCAUUUUACUUUGAAAGGGGUGACAUAGAUGAAUAUUUGUCUUUAGAUGCCCAUCAUUACUUAUUAUUGUGCGUGCUUUAGCAAGAUCUAUGUGACCACUAGAACAUGUGGUGGUAGUUGACAAUGUGCCCCUUUUUGGUGCAUUGGAUAUGGUAAGGGUCACCAUUAGAUCUCAUGCUACUUUUUGUACAACAGGAACUACGACGUGGCAUCUUUUGGCUCGUUGGAUGCAGCUAUAGUUGCCGUUGGAUCGGCAACUAUUUUUCAUGCAAUGGUGGAUUACAACAUGGCUUCAUCUAGAACAUCGAAUUUGGCUGUUGCUAUAGAUUCGCUGCUAGAUUUGAAAGAGAAGAGGAAACACUUUUAGUCCCACAUCGGAAAUAUUAAGGGACAAUAUUUCUAUAUAAUAAGAUACAUUCUUGAUAGUCAAAAGGCAUCACCAAAAAACAAUCUCAGUUUUAUUUGAUAUUAAAAAAAUCUUUUCCAAUUUCAUAGAUACAAAAAAUUGUACUUGAUUUCAAUUUAUUUGAUACUAUAGAAAUUUUUUUUCAGUAUAUGCUAUUUGGUUUUGGUUUUGGUUUUAGUCAAAGAUACAACAAAUACUUUUAGUCUCGAUUUUAAUUGCACAAAUAAAGUUUGUCUUUGGUUUUGGGCAUGGAUAUGAGAAAUCUUAUAAAUUUUAGUUUAGCCACAUAUACUGCAAGCUGAGAUUAGAAACCUUCUAACCUACAACCAAGCAAACAUGUCCAUCACAGCUCAAUAAAUAGAUCCAUUAUACCUUAAACUUUGGCUCACUAAUAAGAUCCAUUGCACGUUAAAUUCAUGCCUAGUAAGUCAUCACUCCAAAAUGUCACAACCAAGGAGUGGUCAAAGAUAAAAUUUAUAAUCUUUGAAGAUGUUCCUAAUGAUAUAAGUAUAGUUUAGAGAAUAUUCAAGUUGAACCACAAAGACUAAUAUAAUUAAGUAUGUGAGAAGAUGGAUGAAAUUUACCUAGAAUCACAAGAGAGAAAUAGAUGAAACUUGGGUUAUUGACCUUUCAGUCAAGAAGUCAUGGUGAAUGAGAUUAAGGAAACACACAAAUUCAAUAUAUAGUUAAUGAUUUUUUAAAUUCUAAUGUGUGAAAUCAAAUGCUCUACCUGUCUAGAUCACCUCAUGUUACUUAGGAGAUCAAUAGAGAGAUUUAGGAGAUUUUAAAGUAUCUUUGACUUGCGUUCAAUCUCUCUCUACCUUGAAAAUCAGUUCUACCUUGAGUUAACAAGGGAACAUGAAUUCAAGGGAAGGAUCUUGAAAUGAAUUCCUAAAUUAAUUCAUAAAAUAGUUUCAUUCCAUAUUACGUUGGAUCAAUCUUGAGAAACCAAGAGUUCAGAAAAGUUAAGAGAAUAAUUAAGAGUAAAUGAAUGGAAAAUUGAAAUCAAAGGUUUACUUAGUGUCACAACUAGGAGAACGCUUUUAUCAUGAUCCUAAAUAAGUCUUAUUGAGAUCAACUCUCUCUCACCACGAGGAUCACAGAUAAGACAUAAAAGAGAACAAAAUGACUGAAUCAAAUUCAAAAUGAAAAAUAAAAAUUCAAUUUAUAUAUGCCCUGAGUUAACAAUUGAAGCAUGAAAUGGUAUUCCACCCCAGAAGUUCUUGGACCUGCCACUAGAAGUUGAGUUCUUGGAUCACAUUCUUUCCUCCUAUUGGUCCCUCCUCUCCUAAGUGUGUAAUAUUUCUCUCCUUAGGGGCAUAAUCCCUUUAUACCUCCCUUGGACGUUGGAGUUGAUGUUGGUGCUUAGAUGCUUCCUUAGAUGUGAAGGUUAAUCAGCUUCCUUGGAUUGCACCCACCUUCCUUAAUUAAAAGGAGAUGUGGUGGCACCUCCCUAGGGUUUUAGGUGAGGAUUAAUACUAGCCAUCUAUCUAGAUGGAUGGUUAACAACCUCUACUAAAUCUUAUGAUAGUUAGGAAUUAAUCUUAACCCUCCAUCUCAAUUUAAUCUCAGCUGUUCAUUCUUCAUUAAGUGGCUAUGGGCACUAGGCCCAUGAUCCUCCAUUAAAGCCCACAGCCUCUUUAACUCUUGAAUGGGCUGAAUUAUUUUGCAAAGAAAAAUACCGCUCAUUAUCAUUUAAGCAAAUAAACUUAAAGUCAAGGAUAAUCAAAAGAAAUCAUGGCAUGAUAUUAGUCUUCAUUAAAAAUAUAAAAUGUGAGAAUAAAUCCCAUUACUUAGAAAAAAUGUAUUAAUACAUGUGGAAUUACUUUAUGGUAUUGAUGUGGUCUUAAGUCGUCAUUAAGAUCAUCAAUCAAAUUUUGAAUAUUUAUUGAACUAAGUUCACCUAAAAUAAAAUUAAAAUUAGAAUGUGAUAAAUUAGCUCAUCUCCUCAUGGAAGGAAUCAAAAGGCAUGAUUUAAUUCUCUAUCAAAAAUAAUUUUUACCUUAAUACCUAUAUUAUUGUCAGAAAAUAUUGGUUGUAAUGAUCAUCAAAAUUAAAUAAAAGGAAAGAAAAGUAAAAUAACUUUCAAAUGAAUAAGAUCAAAGAUAAAUAAAUGUUCACAUGAAAUAAAUAAUGUAGUAAAUAAAUAAAUUUCAAAACAAGAUAGAAAUAUUAAGAUUUUGAAAGAAAUAAAUGAAAAUAAAUUGAAAGCAAUAAAAACUUACAAAUUUUAGUAUCUUUGAAUUCUUAUUGACCUCAAGGUAGAUUCCUUAGCUUGCAUUCAUUUCAACAGAAUAAACUUGGGUUGAUUGAUACUAAGGAAAAGAGAGUAAUCCUCUCAUACAUCAAGUUGGUAAAAAUAAAAGAAAAAUGGGAAGAAAAACUCUCUAACCCUAGAACAUGAAAAAGAACUACAAAAAAACCUCCACCCCCUCCCUCUUCCAUCCUUUUUAUUCUCCAGAUCUAUAAAUCAAGCUUUCUAUUUUGACUUGCUAUUUUUUCAGAUUUUUCUUGCCGUCAUGGCGAGAGUAAUGGAUAUUGUCUAAUUUACUAGAUGAUAAUCCAUAUUAGUAAAUAUGUCCAACCACACACAUAUCAUGAUAUAUCUAGCUUAUCAAAUGAUAACUGAUAUUUGUGCAUGUGUCCUCGUCACGUGGCAAGAUGAGAACCGUUUGAUUCACAUGCCAUUGAUCCAUGAUGAUCCAUAGGUAAUGUGGCUGCUUGUACAUCAAUAGAUGAGGCCACCGCAAUGUUUUCGCUUGUGUUUGCUUUAUUGAAGCACAUGAGAUGAUGGCUGGCAACGUAGGUCAUCUUUGAGCAUCAAAUCCACAUGCCACUGAUCCACCGAAAGGAGUGACAUGGCUACAUAGCUGUUGUCAAAUAGCUAUCAUCUUUUCUCUUGCCUUUAUCAAGAUCUGUGCAUCCACCAAUAGGUGCAAUGAGGCAAGUGACAUGUCACUUCUUGGUGCUUUUACAAGCUCGAUAUUCAAGCAACAAUUGGCAUCCAUGGACUUCAUAAUGUGUCACUCUUCUAUUGGUUAGAUCUUUGACACAAGAAUCGACUAUUAGGUGGAUGAGAUCUUGGGCCCACAUAGGCCCACAUAGUUUUAUUAUUCUUAUUUAAUUCAGAAAAUUUUCAGAAAAAUUGGAGAAAGUUUAUUUCAAUAGAAAUAGUUCAUUAAAAAAUAUAAAAAUUGAGCACAAUAUAAUAAAACUUGAAUUGACAUGAAACAAAUAAGAUUUAUGCAUCAACCACAACCACAUUGUUUCAUGAUAAAAUGACUCUCAUUAAGUUUUCUUUUGAAUUAUAAAAUAUUAUAUUUAAUCAAAAUUUAGAUAAAUUCAUUUAAAUGAAAAAUAAACUAUAUUAUUCUGAUAAAUUGUGAAAUAAUGUAAUAGAUUAACAUGUAAUUUUCACAAGUUAUCAAGUACAAUAGAAUAACCAUAAAAAUAUUCUUAUUUCAUGCCUAUUGGAGUUUAAAGUUAACAAAAAUAAUAAAUGUUUAACUUUUGUAAAGUACAAAUGCACUGGUGUUUACUCUUUUGAAGAUCAUAGGCUUUCAUUAAUGAUAGUGCCUAAAACUACUGGUGUUUGAUUUUUGUUAACACUAACUCUAAUAUGGAUUUAAACUUGAAUAACUAGUAUGAAAAAUAUCAGAAAUGAUUUUCAUGGUAUCCCAUUCUAUGUGAUAUGAUGUCUUAAUAAAAAAAGUAUUCUUUCCUAAAUGGUGAUAAAUUUUUACACAAGCAAGAUCACCUAGGUAGAAUUUCAUCUUUAGAUGAUGCAAGUAUAGAAGUUGCUUAGAAGAAAUGUACUCUAUUAUGGUAUAUAGUAGAAACAUCCCAUAUUAAACAACAAAAUUGGGAUGAUUUAUACCAUUGUGUCAUGAACUAAUUGUUGUCAGUUUUGAAGAGGCAGCAAGAGUAAAUGAGAACGGGGGUGGGCUGCAGUAGUUUCAUACGAAUGACUCUUGGAUUUCAAGAUUCCUAGUCACUGGGUUACUCCACUCUUUUAGGAGCCACUCAGGUUCUUCUGAAUUCAAGCGGUGUAAAUGGUAAAAUCCUCUAGUCAAAUCAGAUGGUUGUUCAAAACGAUUUUUCAAGAUUCACUACUUUAAAUGGCCAACUAGAUUUAUGAACUCACUAAUCUCUUCAAAAUUUAUGAGUCUAACUUGAUAUGUAUGCUCCAAGUAUUCAAUUACUAGUGAAGAAUAAGUGAAUGCUCUUAAAAACUCAGUCCAUGGCAUCUAUGGUGUAAUACCAGAUGGAAAUGCACCUGGUGUAGAUAGAGCCUUAAAUGCUUGAAGUGGGAAUAUUAGAAAAUAUUUUCCUACAUGAGACUUUGGAUUGCAUCCCUUACAUAGUGAUCAAUUUUUCUGAUUUAUUCUGAUUUCUAAUGAUAAAACAAGCCUAUAAAUGGUCCAUAAACGACUAGGGUAUGCUCACUUUCACGGUUUUGAGCCUUUUUAUAUUUUCUCUAUUUUAUCCUGUAAUAUUUUGUGUUUUAUCCUCUCUCCUAUAAGUUUACCCUUUCUAUGAAGAUAAUGCAAAUAUUGUCAAAAAUUUUUGUAAAAAAUUCUAUAUUUAGAGAGAGCAUUUCUAGAAUAAAGGAUUAAUUCCAUAAAGUUGAAAGAAGAAUGCUCAUUAAAUGCCUUCUUUCUCCCUCAUUCCGUUCAUCCUUCGUAUAGCAUGAGAGAGUACCCCAAGAGUUCAUUUCAAACAGGUCCUGCAUAUUUCGAACUGGACACAUGCACCAUUUUUUUUUCUUCCUCUUACGCUGAGAAAUGUCCUCAGGCAAAUCAUUCUCCCUCUCCUUACACUAAAAAAUCCAUUUCUCGGCUAAAUCUCUCUUCCCCUAUGCUGGGCCGCACUGGCGAAUGGUGCCGACGUGUGCUCGCGACCGCCAUGUGAGGACCUGCGGUCAGCUGCGCGGGAUGGUGGCGGGAUGCAGAGGCAAAUUAUGUUAUCUUGUCAACACUUGUGCCGUAGUACCUACGGUAGCAGCUGGCGUUUGACCGAGACAGCUUUGACUUUCACAUCUGCAUAUUAAGAGGGGGAGCUUGAGUCGUCUCUGGGAGGUGUUUUAGUUCACUCCAUGUUGAAUUUUUUUACUUGAUUAAGACAGCGUUCACUCCACUUUUAUUUUUUAUUUAUAUUGUAUUAAAAGCUUCAGACCAAUCGUGAAUGGGCUUUGACUUCGAGCCAUAGAGAAAUUCUUCCUCGAUAGAUACCGGGAAAUUUCGCCGAUCUUUCUCGCAUCCGUUUACUUUACAACAAUAAACCUCUCUCUGUAUCUACAAAUGAAGUAUGUCAAAAUGCUUUAAACAGCAUCAGUGUGACAAGGUUGCAACCCACUCUCCGUCCUACCACCCCCCGCUUCUCCCUCCCCGGCUUGCCAGUUCGACCAUCCAGUUGACGGGCAUGGCAUGGUAUCGAGUUGCGAGGGCGUCCGAAUACCUCGCCAUAACUGGAUUCAAGGUUAGUGACAUCAAGCUUGCCAAGAAGGCAUGGAUCUUACCGGGGCAGUCUUGCACAGUGUUCGACAUCUCGCCAGUCAACUACACGUUCGAGGUGCAGGCCAUGAGCGCCGAGAAGCUCCCGUUCCUCCUCCCCGCUGUCUUCACCAUCGGCCCCCGCUCCGAUGACAUGGAGAGCCUGCUCAAGUACGCCAAGCUCAUCUCCCCCCACGACAAGCUCUCCAACCACGUGAAGGAGCUUGUGCAAGGGGUUAUCGAGGGGGAGACCCGCGUGCUCGCCGCCUCCAUGACCAUGGAGGAGAUCUUCAAGGGCACCAAGUCCUUCAAGGAGGAGGUCUUCGGAAAGGUGCAAUUAGAGCUCAACCAGUUCGGCCUGCUGAUCUACAACGCCAACGUUAAGCAACUCGUCGACGUGAGGGGACACGAGUACUUCUCCUACCUCGGCCAGAAGACCCAGCAAGAGGCGGCGAACCAGGCGAAGGUGGACGUAGCCGAGGCGAGGAUGAAAGGCGAGAUCGGGUCCAAGAAGCGGGAGGGCCAGACCCUCCAGUACGCCUCCAAGGUCGACGCAGAGACGAAGG